rnacentral:rRNA from 1 species
UACGAAGGGUGCUAGCGUUGUUCGGAAUCACUGGGCGUAAAGCGCGCGUAGGCGGCUUUGCAAGUCAGGGGUGAAAUCCUGGAGCUUAACUCCAGAAUUGCCUUUGAAACUGCGAAGCUAGAGUGUCGGAGGGGAUAGCGGAAUUGCUAAUGUAGAGGUGAAAUUCGUAGAUAUUAGCAGGAACACCGGUGGCGAAGGCGGCUAUCUGGACGACAACUGACGCUUAGGUGCGAAAGCGUGGGGAUCAAACAGG